rnacentral:misc_RNA from 1 species
AAUUCUCAACUUCAUUAGUUUGUAAUGAACUAACUGAAGCUUUGGAAGUGGAGGUUUUUGCUGGCGUCUCAGAUGUUCGGCUCCUCUUAAAUGCAUUAGUGGAUCCCGUUUGUUGGACUACCUUGGUGUGAUAAUUAUCUACGCUUUGGUUUUGGUCUAACAGGCUCUGUGAACAUUCUUCAGACUUUCAAGUCUGGUUUGGGUUUUGCAAUUAGUAUUGCUAUACCUGAGUUCAUUAGAGUUAGGGCUUUAUCUGCUUUCUAAUCGUCUGUGUAUUGCGGACAAUAUUCUUGACU